UACGUAGGCAGCGAGCGUUGUUCGGAGUUACUGGGCGUAAAGCGUGCGUAGGCGGUGUCUUAAGUUUGUUGUGAAAUCUCCCGGCUUAACCGGGAGGGUGCGGACGAAUACUGAGAUGCUGGAGUGCCGGAGAGGUAAGCGGAAUUCCUGGUGUAGCGGUGAAAUGCGUAGAUAUCAGGAGGAACACCUGCGGUGUAGACGGCUUACUGGACGGUAACUGACGCUGAGGCACGAAAGCGUGGGUAGCAAACAGG
rnacentral:rRNA from 1 species